rnacentral:rRNA from 2 species
GCUCCCUGAUUCAGCGGCGGACGGGUGAGUAAUGCCUAGGAAUCUGCCUGGUAGUGGGGGACAACGUCUCGAAAGGGACGCUAAUACCGCAUACGUCCUACGGGAGAAAGCAGGGGACCUUCGGGCCUUGCGCUAUCAGAUGAGCCUAGGUCGGAUUAGCUAGUUGGUGAGGUAAUGGCUCACCAAGGCUGCGAUCCGUAACUGGUCUGAGAGGAUGAUCAGUCACACUGGAACUGAGACACGGUCCAGACUCCUACGGGAGGCAGCAGUGGGGAAUAUUGGACAAUGGGCGAAAGCCUGAUCCAGCCAUGCCGCGUGUGUGAAGAAGGUCUUCGGAUUGUAAAGCACUUUAAGUUGGGAGGAAGGGCAGUAAGUUAAUACCUUGCUGUUUUGACGUUACCGACAGAAUAAGCACCGGCUAACUUCGUGCCAGCAGCCGCGGUAAUACGAAGGGUGCAAGCGUUAAUCGGAAUUACUGGGCGUAAAGCGCGCGUAGGUGGUUUGUUAAGUUGGAAGUGAAAGCCCCGGGCUCAACCUGGGAACUGCUUUCAAAACUGGCAAGCUAGAGUAUGGCAGAGGGUGGUGGAAUUUCCUGUGUAGCGGUGAAAUGCGUAGAUAUAGGAAGGAACACCAGUGGCGAAGGCGACCACCUGGGCUAAUACUGACACUGAGGUGCGAAAGCGUGGGGAGCCAAACAGA